rnacentral:tRNA from 1 species
CGGGACGUAGCACAGCUUGGUAGUGCGCUUGGUUCGGGACCAAGAGGUCGAGGGUUCGAAUCCCUCCGUUCCGACCA